rnacentral:rRNA from 2 species
CUACUGGAAACGGUGGCUAAUACCGCAUAACGUCGCAAGACCAAAGAGGGGGACCUUCGGGCCUCUUGCCAUCAGAUGUGCCCAGAUGGGAUUAGCUUGUUGGUGAGGUAACGGCUCACCAAGGCGACGAUCCCUAGCUGGUCUGAGAGGAUGACCAGCCACACUGGAACUGAGACACGGUCCAGACUCCUACGGGAGGCAGCAGUGGGGAAUAUUGCACAAUGGGCGCAAGCCUGAUGCAGCCAUGCCGCGUGUAUGAAGAAGGCCUUCGGGUUGUAAAGUACUUUCAGCGGGGAGGAAGGUGUUGUGGUUAAUAACCGCAGCAAUUGACGUUACCCGCAGAAGAAGCACCGGCUAACUCCGUGCCAGCAGCCGCGGUAAUACGGAGGGUGCAAGCGUUAAUCGGAAUUACUGGGCGUAAAGCGCACGCAGGCGGUCUGUCAAGUCGGAUGUGAAAUCCCCGGGCUCAACCUGGGAACUGCAUUCGAAACUGGCAGGCUUGAGUCUUGUAGAGGGGGGUAGAAUUCCAGGUGUAGCGGUGAAAUGCGUAGAGAUCUGGAGGAAUACCGGUGGCGAAGGCGGCCCCCUGGACAAAGACUGACGCUCAGGUGCGAAAGCGUGGGGAGCAAACAGGAUUAGAUACCCUGGUAGUCCACGCCGUAAACGAUGUCUACUUGGAGGUUGUGCCCUUGAGGCGUGGCUUCCGGAGCUAACGCGUUAAGUAGACCGCCUGGGGAGUACGGCCGCAAGGUUAAAACUCAAAUGAAUUGACGGGGGCCCGCACAAGCGGUGGAGCAUGUGGUUUAAUUCGAUGCAACGCGAAGAACCUUACCUGGUCUUGACAUCCACGGAAGUUUUCAGAGAUGAGAAUGUGCCUUCGGGAACCGUGAGACAGGUGCUGCAUGGCUGUCGUCAGCUCGUGUUGUGAAAUGUUGGGUUAAGUCCCGCAACGAGCGCAACCCUUAUCCUUUGUUGCCAGCGGUUAGGCCGGGAACUCAAAGGAGACUGCCAGUGAUAAACUGGAGGAAGGUGGGGAUGACGUCAAGUCAUCAUGGCCCUUACGACCAGGGCUACACACGUGCUACAAUGGCGCAUACAAAGAGAAGCGACCUCGCGAGAGCAAGCGGACCUCAUAAAGUGCGUCGUAGUCCGGAUUGGAGUCUGCAACUCGACUCCAUGAAGUCGGAAUCGCUAGUAAUCGUGGAUCAGAAUGCCACGGUGAAUACGUUCCCGGGCCUUGUACACACCGCCCGUCACACCAUGGGAGUGGGUUGCAAAAGAAGUAGGUAGCUUAACCUUCGGGAGGGCGCUUACCACUUUGUGAUUCAUGACUGGGGUGAAGUCGUAACAAGGUAACCGUAGGGGAACCUGCGGUUGGA